CAAAGAAUAGUUUAAGCAUAAGAAUUUUAGCUUUGGGAGCUAAGGGCGUGAGUUAGAGUCUCACUUCUUUGA
rnacentral:tRNA from 1 species